rnacentral:rRNA from 1 species
AGCAGCCGCGGUAAUUCCAGCUCCAAUAGCGUAUAUUAAAGUUGUUGCAGUUAAAAAGCUCGUAGUUGAAUUUCGGAAUCAGCAGGUUGGUCGUGCCUCUGGUAUGCACUGGUUUCGCUGAUUCCUCCUUUCUGAAGAACUGUAAUGUCAUUAAUUUGGUGUUGCAGGGAAACAGGACUGUUACUUUGAAAAAAUUAGAGUGUUUAAAGCAGGCUAACGCUUGAAUACAUUAGCAUGGAAUAAUGAAAUAGGACGUUUGGUCCUAUUUUGUUGGUUUCUAGGAUUGACGUAAUGAUUAAUAGGGAUAGUUGGGGGCAUUAGUAUUCAAUUGUCAGAGGUGAAAUUCUUGGAUUUAUUGAAGACUAACUACUGCGAAAGCAUUUGCCAAGGAUGGUUUCAUUAAUCAAGAACGAAAGUUAGGGGAUCGAAGACGAUCAGAUACCGUCGUAGUCUUAACCAUAAACUAUGCCGACUAGGGAUCGGAUGAUGUUAAUUUUUUAAUGACUCA